rnacentral:rRNA from 1 species
GACCUGCCCAGUGAAUUUUUCAACGGCCGCGGUACUCUGACCGUGCAAAGGUAGCAUAAUCAUUUGCCUUAUAAUUGAAGGCUUGUAUGAAUGGUUUGACAAGAAUAUAGCUGUCUCUUUAUAAUUAAAUAGAAUUUUAUUUAUAGGUGAAGAAGCCUAUAUAGUAUUGAAAGACAAGAAGACCCUAUCGAGCUUGAAAGAAGUUAAUAAAUUUUACUGUUUAAUAUAAUAUAAAAAAUUAAUUAUUAAAAAUUUUGGUUGGGGCGACUAAGGAACAAAUAAAGCUUCCUUUAUUUUAGUAAUACAACCAAGUGAGGAUCCAAAAACUUUGAUUAAAGGAAUUAGUUACCGUAGGGAUAACAGCAUUAUCUUUUUUGAGAGCUCUAAUCGAAAAAAAGGUUUGUGACCUCGAUGUUGGACCAGAAUAUCCUAAAGAUGCAGCCGUC